ACUCCCACUCAACUCUCUCUUUCACCCACUCCUUCUCUCCCUUUCUUCGUUUUUUCGGCCAGUAAAGGACAUCACUGCCGACGAUGAAGGCCGGUGAGUCUCCAGCAUGCUCCGGCGAGCCUCAACGGCAGCAAGCAAGACGGCAAUGGAGGCUAUUUUCAAAGAGAGAGGGAGGUGGACGCAUGUGCGAGGCUGCCACUUUCAAGCUUCGUUCUGAUAUCAUUUGGUGGUUGUUUUCGACGAGGCUAGGCCUGUUCAACUCCUGGCAUAGCAAGCUUCAAAACCCAACCAGCCUCGCCUCCAACGGUGGCCGGAGGGAGAAGAUCCGGUGAGGGAAAGUUGGAAGAAAAACAUAUGGGUUUUGAGCUUUCCGGCCACUUUUCCAGCUAUCCGACCAUCGGAUCGGAAAUCCGAGGCCACUGAUGGACUCAGGACGACGAGAUCUUGGAGAUAGGACUGGUCCCGCUCCGAUCGGACACCGUUUGAAAAAGGCGAUAAUCGGACGGUCCAGAUCGUUUGGUGCAAUCGGAUCGAGGAUAGCUCACCGGUGUCGGGACUGCAUUUUCAGCCAGAUCCGGCUGCCUGACGGUCCGUCUCAGAACAUGGUCGAUAUUAUAGUCAAUCCUAGCAUUUUCAGACGUUCUGGACGAGGUUCAGGUAUUAGAAUUGGCAUAGGUAAACCCGAACUCCAAGUUGCUCAUUUUCGGCUAAUACUGAUUUAGAAUAAAAUUCGUAAAAUAUUCGUAGAUGAUCAGAAAAUUUUAAUUCCUUUUGCAAUAGUCUUAUAAUAUUAUUAAGGACCGCAGGAAAAAAUUUUAGAAUUUUUAGAGCUUGUCGGAGUGAAUUUUUAUAAAAUGUUAAUUAUAGGGACUAAAACGUAAUUUUUCAAGUUUAUGACUAUUGUCUGAUUUGGAGGGCCCAGGAGGGGCCAUAUGAUGUGAUUAUGAAAAUUGAGAAUUUAGAAGUGUUAUUUGAAUCUUUGUGCAGAUUGGGUAGGUCUUAGGUAUAGGGGAAACUCUGCCGGAUUUGCAGCAUGAAUUAGGUUGUCUGUUGUCUCUUUAGAGUUUUAUUUUGACUUAGUACUAAUAAAUUUAUAAUAUAAUUAUUAGGUGAUCGAGAUCAGCUAUUCUCCUCCAUCCAGCAGCCACAAUAGUCCUCGGUGUACUGUGAGUAAAAUAUUAAUUUUAAUUGUAAUUUCGAUAUUAUUAUAUGUUCAAGCAUGUCCAUGCAUCACUUAUAUGUAUAUAUCUAUGUAGUUAAACUCUAGGUACGUUUUAUGUUGCAUUCACAACUGUUAAAGUGCCAUGGAUGUUGUUUGUGGUACUUUGGAGCAGUGUGCGUGCAUUGGCGUGCGUGUGGUAUAGUAUUGGAUAUGGACAGGACGGGUAGACACGGCUUGAGAUAUUCGCUGGGACCCGGUCCUUCGGGGCAGACACGGCUUGAGUUCUUCGUUGGGACCCCGUAUUUGGUGUAUUAAGCGAAAGUUUGGCUUGAGAUCUUCGCUGGCAGAGGUUGGAUUAAAAGGGCUGUAUAGGGGAUCAGCUCCCAUAUAUGUAUUGUUUGACAUUAUCGGGUGUGUGAGUACUCCAAAUUGCCUUUUUGAUGUGAUUUGUAUGAAAUUUAUAACGAUGUUGCAUUUCACUU